CUACGGGGGGCUCCAGUGGGGAAUAUUGCACAAUGGGCGCAAGCCUGAUGCAGCCAUGCCGCGUGUAUGAAGAAGGCCUUCGGGUUGUAAAGUACUUUCAGCGGGGAGGAAGGGAGUAAAGUUAAUACCUUUGCUCAUUGACGCUACCCGCAGAAGAAGCACCGGCUAACUCCGUGCCAGCAGCCGCGGUAAUACGGAGGGUGCAAGCGUUAACCGGAAUUACUGGGCGUAAAGCGCACGCAGGCGGUUUGUUAAGUCAGAUGUGAAAUCCCCGGGCUCAACCUGGGAACUGCAUCUGAUACUGGCAAGCUUGAGUCUCGUAGAGGGGGGUAGAAUUCCAGGUGUAGCGGUGAAAUGCGUAGAGAUCUGGAGGAAUACCGGUGGCGAAGGCGGCCCCCUGGACGAAGACUGACGCUCAGGUGCGAAAGCGUGGGGAGCAAACAGGAUUAGAUACCCCGGUAGUC
rnacentral:rRNA from 1 species